rnacentral:piRNA from 1 species
UGGUGAAGAAGGCCUGUUGGGGCCAAUGC